rnacentral:rRNA from 1 species
UACGUAGGGUGCAAGCGUUAAUCGGAAUUACUGGGCGUAAAGCGUGCGCAGGCGGAUAGCUAAGUUAGAAGUGAAAUCCCCGGGCUCAACCUGGGAACUGCUUUUAAGACUGGUUAUCUAGAGUUUGUCAGAGGGGGGUGGAAUUCCAAGUGUAGCAGUGAAAUGCGUAGAGAUUUGGAGGAACACCGAUGGCGAAGGCAGCCCCCUGGGAUAAAACUGACGCUCAGGCACGAAAGCGUGGGUAGCAAACAGG